rnacentral:rRNA from 1 species
CAAUAGCGUAUAUUAAAGUUGUUGCGGUUAAAAAGCUCGUAGUUGGAUUUCUGCUGAGAACGACCGGUCCGCCCUUUGGGUGUGUAUCUGGCUCUUUCUUGGCAUCUUCUUGGUGAACGUUGCUGCACUUGACUGUGUGGAGCGCUACCCAGGACUUUUACUUUGAGGAAAUUAGAGUGUUUCAAGCAGGCAUACGCCUUGAAUACAUUAGCAUGGAAUAAUAAGAUAGGACCUCGGUUCUAUUUUGUUGGUUUCUAGAGCUGAGGUAAUGAUUAAUAGGGAUAGUUGGGGGCAUUCGUAUUUAACUGUCAGAGGCGAAAUUCUUGGAUUUGUUAAAGACGGACUACUGCGAAAGCAUUUGCCAAGGAUGUUUUCAUUGA